rnacentral:rRNA from 1 species
ACACAUGCAAGUCGAACGGAGUUAUUUUGGCAGAAGCCUUCGGGUGGACGCUGAUAUAACUUAGUGGCGAACGGGUGAGUAACACGUGAGCAACCUGCCCUUCAGAGGGGGACAACAGUUGGAAACGACUGCUAAUACCGCAUAAGACCACGGUGUGGCAUCACACAGAGGUCAAAGGAGAAAUCCGCUGAAGGAUGGGCUCGCGUCCAAUUAGCUAGAUGGUGAGGUAACGGCCCACCAUGGCGACGAUUGGUAGCCGGACUGAGAGGUUGAUCGGCCACAUUGGGACUGAGACACGGCCCAGACUCCUACGGGAGGCAGCAGUGGGGAAUAUUGCACAAUGGAGGAAACUCUGAUGCAGCGACGCCGCGUGAGGGAAGAAGGUCUUCGGAUUGUAAACCUCUGUUGUCAGGGACGAUAAUGACGGUACCUGACGAGGAAGCCACGGCUAACUACGUGCCAGCAGCCGCGGUAAAACGUAGGUGGCAAGCGUUGUCCGAAAUUACUGGGUGUAAAGGGAGCGCAGGUGGGAGAGCAAGUUGGAAGUGAAAUCUGUGGGCUCAACUCACAAAUUGCUUUCAAAACUGUUUUUCUUGAGUGGUGUAGAGGUAGGCGGAAUUCCCGGUGUAGCGGUGGAAUGCGUAGAUAUCGGGAGGAACACCAGUGGCGAAGGCGGCCUACUGGGCACUAACUGACGCUGAGGCUCGAAAGCAUGGGUAGCAAACAGGAUUAGAUACCCUGGUAGUCCAUGCCGUAAACGAUGAUUACUAGGUGUGGGAGGAUUGACCCCUUCCGUGCCGCA